rnacentral:lncRNA from 1 species
GCAGUUAUAUCUGUACAAAGUUACAUUUUCAUUAGAUAAUGCACAGAAAAAUGUAAGUAAAAAACAUGAUGUGACAAGUGAAUCAGGAAAGUUACACCAAACUAGUUUCUGAUUGACCCUCCACAGUAUUGGGUCAUCCCUGUCAUAGGAAUGUCAGUGAGAACUAACUGUGCAAGCAAAUGUUACAAGAUAUAAUUAAAAUCUUCUCUGCUAAUGGACUAAGAAAUUUAUACCCCCAGACAGAAUUCUCGUUUUAGCGCCCAUUAAAAUCUAUCUAGGGCCUCCAUGUGCCUCUCCACGCCUUCUCCUCCUCCCAGAACGCCCAAAAAAAAUUCUACCUUGACGACGUAGACGGCUAGCCAGAGAUGUACUCCUAUUGCCGUCUUCCUCGUCACUAUCAACAUUUUGGCGAGAGUGAUCAAAAGCACCUGCAGUGGUUCCAUGACUGUAACUAGCACCUCUAGCCAAUGUAUAAUUGGAGUCUCUCUCGUGUCUCCUCAAACCUCUAGGGGGUCC